GUCCUUUCAACUACUGCUGCUCUGCACACUGACUCCUUCACCAAAAAUCCUUCCAGAAACAUUUCACCAGAUCUUCUCAAUCCAACUAUUACUAGCUGUAACAUCAAGACCUUGGAAUGCCCAUUCAUUUGAAUGACUCGCAAAUGUUUUUUUUUUCAAUAACUGCCUCUAAUUAUGCAUGAUUAACUCAACUUAACUCUUACUAACUCAAUAAAAUGACUAACCUCACUAACUUAAUCAGUUAUUAUAAAAACCACUUAUUGAGUUUUACUAUGAAGAUCGUACUGAGGGUGCUUGAAAAACACAGCUGAAUGAUAAAUCAGGGUAAACGACAACUUAAGACCAAGUAGUCUUCAACUCUCAAGUCACUCAAGGCUUGUUCUUCGGCGAAAAUAGUCGCCUGAUAUACUAAUUAUGAUGUCCC